rnacentral:rRNA from 1 species
CAGUAGCCGCGGUAAAACGGAGGGUGCAAGCGUUAUCCGGAUUCACUGGGUUUAAAGGGUGCGUAGGCGGACUUGUAAGUCAGUGGUGAAAUCUAGGCUUAACCUAGAAACUGCCGUUGAUACUAUAGGUCUUGAAUGUUGUGGAGGUUAGCGGAAUAUGUCAUGUAGCGGUGAAAUGCAUAGAUAUGACAUAGAACACCAAUUGCGAAGGCAGCUGGCUACACAAAUAUUGACGCUGAGGCACGAAAGCGUGGGGAUUAAACAGGAUUAGAUACCCCUGUAGUCCCUGUCUCUUAUACAC